GAUGAACGCUGGCGGCGUGCCUAAUACAUGCAAGUCGAGCGAACGGACGAGAAGCUUGCUUUUCUGAUGUUAGCGGCGGACGGGUGAGUAACACGUGGAUAACCUACCUAUAAGACUGGGAUAACUUCGGGAAACCGGAGCUAAUACCGGAUAAUAUUUUGAACCGCAUGGUUCAAAAGUGAAAGACGGUCUUGCUGUCACUUAUAGAUGGAUCCGCGCUGCAUUAGCUAGUUGGUAAGGUAACGGCUUACCAAGGCAACGAUGCAUAGCCGACCUGAGAGGGUGAUCGGCCACACUGGAACUGGGACACGGUCCAGACUCCUACGGGAGGCAGCAGUAGGGAAUCUUCCGCUAUGGGCGAAAGCCUGACGGAGCAACGCCGCGUGAGUGAUGAAGGUCUUCGGAUCGUAAAACUCUGUUAUUAGGGAAGAACAUAUGUGUAAGUAACUGUGCACAUCUUGACGGUACCUAAUCAGAAAGCCACGGCUAACUACGUG
rnacentral:rRNA from 1 species